ensembl:lncRNA
GUCUGCAAGCCUUAUGUUGACAAAAUCUUUCACAGAUUGAGGUUUCUAAUUUUUGCAUGGUACAAUUUCCCAUUACAGCAGGUUUGUUUUAGUAGCCAUGAAUACAUAUUUAUUUAUAUUGGAUUACUGAUACGGUUAGUUUAGUUUUUUGACCAUAUCAUUGGUUGAUAUGUUUUGUUGGUGGGUCAUUUAGUGCAGGUGGACUUGGUUUGGUUUGCAUGAUUGUGACUCGCUGAUAUAGAACUCUUUGCUCAGCUAAAACUUACUUCAGUGUAGUGGUUAAAUUUGAUUUAAUAGUAAAACAGUGAUCCUGAUUAGUCUUUUGGGUACAAUCAAUGUUUUGUGUAGGUUUGCAUUCUGAUAACAUCAAGCUGCAAAAGGAAAAGAUAUAGGUUUGUUCUACUUUCAAGCAAAAUAGUUAUUUUCAAACUCAUUCUAUGCUGAUUGAUUGUCUAGAUAAUGAAUGCAUGCUCACCCACAUGCAUGCAUACAUGUGUACACACACACACACACAAACAAACAAACAAACAAACAAACAAACAAACAAACAAACAAACAAAACAUUUUUAUAUCAUGAGGAAUUUUCUUUCUUUCCGUAGUUCACUUUAUUUGGCUUUGAUGCUAUUGUAGCUUUACUGAGACCAGGUAUUUGGUGAAAGUAAGGCAUUUAUUGCAGGACAACAUGGUACAUUUCAGUGAUGAUAAAGAUCCAACAAGGUUAUUUUUAUUAUAAUUUUUUUUUAAGUAUGAUUAACUUUUCCUUCCUUCUAAAAUUGACAGACUUUCCGUAAUAUGGAAUUUGGAAAAUUUGUCACAUUAUAAUUACAUGAUUUUUGUUUCAUUCUGUCAUUCAGAGCAAUAUGUUUUCUGCUUCAGAAGUCGUGGGGGCAACCAUUGUCAGUGUUUAUUAAUAAUGUACAUAGCACCAAAAAAGUAGAACUUUACAGAAUGUUUAACACUGUCCCAAACCGUGGUUAGUUUCUCAUGAUGUGCUUUGUUGUAUCGAGUAAACAUUUUUUAUAUACACACAAAUAUAUAUAAAAAACUGAAUUCCUGACAUUUAUCCUACAAGUGUUUCCUUUGUAUGUAGAACCAAAACUAAAGACAGCCUUGACCUUGUUUUUUUGUUAGUAAAUAUUUGACGGCGUUUUAAAGGGAAAAAAAAUAAAAUAUGGCCUAUAUAUACCAUACAAAUAUGGGUAUGUGAAGCCGAUUCACUUUUCUAGCCCCCAGUUUGUCCAUGUGUCUGAUAUCUGUGUGUUGUGUUUUGCCAUAAGGUGGCUACCUUUUGAAGUCAGCUGUCAUUCAUUUUGAACUAAUAUUUUUCUUAAGGUAUUGUUUGGUUUCCUGGUAUUGCGCCCCCCCCCCCUCCCCCAUGCUGUCCUGUUCAGAAUCAUUGAAAAUAUCUCUGCAAAAUGAAACAUGGUCCUAUGUGGAAACUUAAAAAUAAAUGGUUUCCUGUGCCUGUUAGCAUAGGUUAGCUGUUUUCCAGUUUGGUAUAAUAAUCUGCCAUUUGCGGUAAGGAGUUUUACAUUUGUAAUCAACUUUUCUCUUAAAGUAUUUUUUCAUAGUGUAUAAGCAUAUGUAUUCACAGCACAUAGUUCACACACACCACACAGUACAGUCAAUUAAAUGCUACAUUUCUUUUCUUAGUAAGCGAAGGGGGCACAGGAGCAGGUGCCCUUUCCUGUAGGUCUUGUAAGUUGUAGAAGGUUGCAUGAUUCUGCGUUCAAUUAGAUUUGUUUGUAAAUGUUCCCCAUUCAUGGUUUGAUUCUUUUGCCCUUUUGUUUUGUUUUGUUCCUUUUAUGUUUAGUAUUUUGAACAGACAUGCCUCAAAGGAAUGGUUUGGGGUUUUGGCAAUGAGUCCCUUCCUCUAUUUCUCCAGAGUCAGAUUAACUGAAUUUCAGUAGCAGACAAUCCAGAAUUACUUACUAUAGUGAAUGCAAAAAAAGGUCUACUCCCCUCAUACUUACCCUUUUUAUAUAUCUGUCCAGUGUGAAGGAAGUUAGAUUUUUGCAAGUCAGUGCUAACUAGUGUUAACGCCAUGACUAGAAGUCAACAGGACCAGCUAUGAUGUUAGCUGCUUCCAUAGACAUUGAGUCCUUGUGCUUAUGCUAGUUAGUAAUUGCACAUACAUUAUAUAAAUGCUUCCUCCCAACUGCAUGCAUAAACAGGAAAAUCUUAUCCAAAAGUUCAUCUGACCCUGGGAAAGUAGAUAAAAGGCCUCAUCGCUAAAAUCCCAGACUAGCCCUUAAAUUCUAUGGACUCUUCUUCACACUUGUUUUUGUAUUGAAUUAAAACUAUGAAUCCUAUGGAUUUUAUAAGUAUUGGUAAUGCCAUUUUAGUGCAUUAGUAUUAGACAGGUUAUGUCUGAUAACUGAGAACCAGGCUCAUAUUGGACCUAUGUGUACCUUUUUUCUAAGGGUUUUCAUUUACAAUGUACUUGCAUUAACUUUAUGGUGAUCAUUAUGGUGUUUAUCAUUAGUCUAGUAGCACUCUUUAUGAUGAUCAUUAUGGUGUUUAUCAAUAGCACUCUUUAGCUGGUAUCCUUUGACACAUUUGAA